CUGGUCCUUUUCAAGAUAUCUGCAUCAUUUCAAUUUUUCAUGCGAAAAAAAUCAUCAGUCUUGUAGGAUUUAAAAUGGAUUUCUACGAGGGAAAAAUUAUUCUUUGAUGAAUGAAUUGAUUUAUUACGUAAUUUAAGGGACGAUUAAAUUCUGAAAUGUGAGGGUCAUCGAAGAAGCUGUAUAAAGAACAUCUCAUAAAACGAUCAUCCUUCGUGAAAAAGAAGAAAGAUGCACAUUCGUAUCUAAUCUUGCAUUAUUGACCAAGUUUGAUAGGUUGAAGUUGAAAAUAAUAAACUUAUAAAUGUACCUAUCUGUACAGUUAACGACUUAAUUAAUAAUUAGGUUAAUAGUUAUUUGUAUGGUGUACCAUUUGAAUACACCAUUAAAUAAUUUGAAAUAUCUAUUUUAAAAAAAUCACGUUGAUAUAUCGUGUGAUAAGCCUAUAUAAGAUGGGAAGUGUUGAAGAUGCGAGUGCAUUUUCUUUAUUUCAAAUCGUGAUUAAGUAAUCGAAUGCUUUUACGUUUGUGAAGUUAAAAUACCUACGGAAUAUUCAACUAGCAAGAACGAUUAUUUGGUGACUUGACAUUAUUAGAGCUUUAUCUUCAAAUUCCCUAAACGUGCAGCUCCAUUUCGGUACUCGAAGCGUAACCAUGAACUUCAAACUGUUGAUAUUCGCCAUCGGAGUCGCGUUACUUUUGGCUUUUUCUCAAACUGCAGCUGAGUCGAACCCGCAGCAGAUCGAGCCAUUGAUAUUCAAGAAUUUCAACGAUUGUGUACUUAUUUGUGCUGAAGUUUGCGAGAGUAAAAGAAUCCACGAACAUGACUGCUACUUGGAAGAAAUGGCGCGUGGAUAUAGAUGCUUAUGCAAGAAUCAGCCGAAGAAUUUUGACAUAUAAUUUACGUCGAAUGUUGUGAAGUAUUUUUUAGAUUUGUGAUUUCGUUUUUUUCGUGUAGUAUGUCAAAUUGUGCAGUUUAUGGAUAGGUAGACGAUAUUAUUUUUCUUGGAGUUCGUCAAUGUUUAGAAAAUACAUUACCUACAACUUUUUGAUUCUGA